UCGGGGGCAUCAGUAUUCCGUCUGUCAGAGGUGAAAUUCUUGGAUUUAAGGAAGACUAACUACUGCGAAAGCAUUUGCCAAGGAUGUUUUCAUUAAUCAGUGAACGAAAGUUAGGGGAUCGAAGACGAUCAGAUACCGUCGUAGUCUUAACCGUAAACUGAGAGCGAACUAGGGAUCGGGCGAUGUUCUUUUUCUGACUCGCUCGGCACCUUACGAGAAAUCAAAGUUUUUGGGUUCUGGGGGGAUUAUGGUCGCAAGGCUGAAACUUAAAGAAAUUGACGGAAGGUCACCACCAGGCGUGGAGCUCUGCGGCUUAAUUUGACUCAAC
rnacentral:rRNA from 1 species